rnacentral:rRNA from 1 species
AGUGAACGCUGGCGGUAGGCCUAACACAUGCAAGUCGAACGGCAGCACAGUAAGAGCUUGCUCUUACGGGUGGCGAGUGGCGGACGGGUGAGGAAUACAUCGGAAUCUACUUUUUCGUGGGGGAUAACGUAGGGAUACUUACGCUAAUACCGCAUACGACCUACGGGUGAAAGCAGGGGAUCUUCGUACCUUGCUCGAUUGAAUGAGCCGCUGUCGGAUUAGCUAGUUGGCGGGGUAAAGGCCCACCAAGGCGACGAUCCGUAGCUGGUCUGAGAGGAUGAUCAGCCACACUGGAACUGAGACACGGUCCAGACUCCUACGGGAGGCAGCAGUGGGGAAUAUUGGACAAUGGGCGCAAGCCUGAUCCAGCCAUACCGCGUGGGUGAAGAAGGCCUUCGGGUUGUAAAGACCUUUUGUUGGGAAAGAAAAGCAGCAGGUUAAUACCCCGCUGUUCUGACGGUACCCAAAGAAUAAGCACCGGCUAACUUCGUG